UACGGAGGGUGCAAGCGUUGUUCGGAAUUAUUGGGCGUAAAGCGCGUGUAGGCGGAUAGAUAAGUCAGGUGUGAAAUCCCUUGACCCAAUCAAGGAACUGCACUUGAAACUAUCUUUCUCGAGUACGAUAGGGGAGGGCGGAAUUCCCAGUGUAGAGGUGAAAUUCAUAGAUAUUGGGAGGAACACCAGUGGCGAAGGCGACCCUCUGGAUCGAUACUGACGCUGAGACGCGAAAGCGUGGGUAGCAAAC
rnacentral:rRNA from 1 species